CAGCCGCCACGGUAAUACGUAGGUGGCAAGCGUUGUCCGGAAUUAUUGGGCGUAAAGGGCUCGCAGGCGGUUUCUUAAGUCUGAUGUGAAAGCCCCCGGCUCAACCGGGGAGGGUCAUUGGAAACUGGGAAACUUGAGUGCAGAAGAGGAGAGUGGAAUUCCACGUGUAGCGGUGAAAUGCGUAGAUAUAUGGAGGAACGCCGGUGGCGGAAGCGGCUCUCUGGUCUGUAACUGACGCUGAGGCUCGAAAGCGUGGGGAGCGAACAGGAUUAGAUACCCCAGUAGUCCCUGUCUCUUAUAC
rnacentral:rRNA from 1 species